rnacentral:rRNA from 1 species
GGCUCAUUAUAUAAGUUAUCGUUUAUUUGAUAGUACCUUACUACUUGGAUAACCGUGGUAAUUCUAGAGCUAAUACAUGCUGAAAAUCCCGACUUCGGAAGGGAGGUAUUUAUUAGAUUAAAAACCAAUGCCCUCUGGGCUCCUUGGUGAUUCAUAAUAACUUUUCGAAUCGCACGGCCUUGCGCCGGCGAUGGUUCAUUCAAAUUUCUUCCCUAUCAACUUUCGAUGUUUGGGUAUUGGCCAAACAUGGUCGCAACGGGUAACGGAGGGUUAGGGCUCGACCCCGGAGAAGGAGCCUGAGAAACGGCUACUACAUCCAAGGAAGGCAGCAGGCGCGCAAAUUACCCAAUCCCGAUUCGGGGAGGUAGUGACAAUAAAUACUGAUACAGGGCUCUUUUGGGUCUUGUAAUUGGAAUGAGUACAAUUUAAAUCUCUUAACGAGGAACAAUUGGAGGGCAAGUCUGGUGCCAGCAGCCGCGGUAAUUCCAGCUCCAAUAGCGUAUAUUAAAGUUGUUGUGGUUAAAAAGCUCGUAGUUGAACCUUGGGCCUGGCUGGCCGGUCCGCCUCACCGCGUGUACUGGUCCGGCCGGGCCUUUCCCUCUGUGGAACCUCAUGCCCUUCACUGGGUGUGGCGGGGAAACAGGACUUUUACUUUGAAAAAAUUAGAGUGCUCCAGGCAGGCCUAUGCUCGAAUACAUUAGCAUGGAAUAAUAAAAUAGGACGCGUGGUUCUAUUUUGUUGGUUUCUAGGACCGCCGUAAUGAUUAAUAGGGACAGUCGGGGGCAUCAGUAUUCAAUUGUCAGAGGUGAAAUUCUUAGAUUUAUUGAAGACUAACUACUGCGAAAGCAUUUGCCAAGGAUGUUUUCAUUAAUCAGGAACGAAAGUUAGGGGAUCGAAGACGAUCAGAUACCGUCGUAGUCUUAACCAUAAACUAUGCCGACUAGGGAUCGGACGAUGUUAUUUUUUGACGCGUUCGGCACC